GUGGGGAAUAUUGCACAAUGGGGGAAACCCUGAUGCAGCGACGCCGCGUGAGUGAAGAAGUAUUUCGGUACGUAAAGCUCUAUCAGCAAGGAAGAAAAUGACGGUACUUGACUAAGAAGCCCCGGCUAACUACGUGCCAGCAGCCGCGGUAAUACGUAGGGGGCAAGCGUUAUCCGGAUUUACUGGGUGUAAAGGGAGCGUAGACGGUAUGGUAAGUCAGAUGUGAAAGCCCGGGGCUCAACCCCGGGACUGCAUUUGAAACUAUCAGACUAGAGUGCAGGAGAGGUAAGUGGAAUUCCUAGUGUAGCGGUGAAAUGAGUAAAUAUUAGGAGGAACACCAGUGGCGAAGGCGGCUUCCUAGCCUAAGACUGACGCUGAUGCACGAAAGCGUGGGGAGCAAAUAGGAUUAGAUACCCGUGUAGUCC
rnacentral:rRNA from 1 species